CAGUCGAGGGGCAGCAUCAUCAAAGCUUGCUUUGAUGGAUGGCGACCGGCGCACGGGUGAGUAACACGUAUCCAACCUGCCGACAACACUGGGAUAGCCUUUCGAAAGAAAGAUUAAUACCGGAUGGCAUAGUUUUCCCGCAUGGGAUAAUUAUUAAAGAAUUUCGGUUGUCGAUGGGGAUGCGUUCCAUUAGGCAGUUGGCGGGGUAACGGCCCACCAAACCGACGAUGGAUAGGGGUUCUGAGAGGAAGGUCCCCCACAUUGGAACUGAGACACGGUCCAAACUCCUACGGGAGGCAGCAGUGAGGAAUAUUGGUCAAUGGACGAGAGUCUGAACCAGCCAAGUAGCGUGAAGGAUGACUGCCCUAUGGGUUGUAAACUUCUUUUAUACGGGAAUAAAGUUAGCCACGUGUGGCUUUUUGUAUGUACCGUAUGAAUAAGGAUCGGCUAACUCCGUGCCAGCAGCCGCGGUAAUACGGAGGAUCCGAGCGUUAUCCGGAUUUAUUGGGUUUAAAGGGAGCGUAGGCGGGUUGUUAAGUCAGUUGUGAAAGUUUGCGGCUCAACCGUAAAAUUGCAGUUGAUACUGGCGACCUUGAGUGCAACAGAGGUAGGCGGAAUUCGUGGUGUAGCGGUGAAAUGCUUAGAUAUCACGAAGAACUCCGAUUGCGAAGGCAGCUUACUGGAUUGUAACUGACGCUGAUGCUCGAAAGUGUGGGUAUCAAACAGGAUUAGAUACCCUGGUAGUCCACACAGUAAACGAUGAAUACUCGCUGUUGGCGAUAUACAGUCAGCGGCCAAGCGAAAGCA
rnacentral:rRNA from 1 species